AUUGAACGCUGGCGGCAGGCUUAACACAUGCAAGUCGAGCGGAGAGAGGUAGCUUGCUACUGAUCUUAGCGGCGGACGGGUGAGUAAUGCUUAGGAAUCUGCCUAUUAGUGGGGGACAACAUUUCGAAAGGAAUGCUAAUACCGCAUACGUCCUACGGGAGAAAGCAGGGGAUCUUCGGACCUUGCGCUAAUAGAUGAGCCUAAGUCGGAUUAGCUAGUGGGUGGGGUAAAGGCCUACCAAGGCGACGAGCUGCAGCGGGUCUGAGAGGAUGAUCCGCCACACUGGGACUGAGACACGGCCCAGACUCCUACGGGAGGCAGCAGUGGGGAAUAUUGGACAAUGGGCGAAAGCCUGAUCCAGCCAUGCCGCGUGUGUGAAGAAGGCCUUAUGGUUGUAAAGCACUUUAAGCGAGGAGGAGGCUACUUUAGUUAAUACCUAGAGAUAGUGGACGUUACUCGCAGAAUAAGCACCGGCUAACUCUGUGCCAGCCGCCGCCGUAA
rnacentral:rRNA from 1 species